rnacentral:rRNA from 1 species
UACGUAGGGUGCAAGCGUUAAUCGGAAUUACUGGGCGUAAAGCGUGCGCAGGCGGUUAUGUCAGACAGGUGUGAAAGGCCCGGGCUUAACCUGGGAACUGCAUUUGGAACUGCAUGGCUAGAGUGUGUCAGAGGAGGGUAGAAUUCCACGUGUAGCAGUGAAAUGCGUAGAUAUGUGGAGGAACACCGGUGGCGAAGGCAGCCCCCUGGAAUGACACUGACACUCAUGUGCGAAAGCGUGGGGAGCAAACAGG